rnacentral:rRNA from 1 species
UACGUAGGGGGCAAGCGUUGUCCGGAUUUAUUGGGCGUAAAGAGCGUGUAGGCGGUUUGGUAGGUCCGUUGUGAAAACUCGAGGCUCAACCUCGAGACGCCGAUGGAAACCAUCAGACUAGAGUCCGGAAGAGGAGAGUGGAAUUCCUGGUGUAGCGGUGAAAUGCGCAGAUAUCAGGAAGAACACCCGUGGCUAAGGCGGCUCUCUAGUACGGUACUGACGCUGAGACGCGAAAGCGUGGGGAGUGAACAGG